rnacentral:rRNA from 1 species
AACGAACGCUGGCGGCAUGCCUAACACAUGCAAGUCGAACGAGACCUUUGGGUCUAGUGGCGCACGGGUGCGUAACGCGUGGGAACCUGCCCUUAGGUUCGGAAUAACUCCCCGAAAGGGGUGCUAAUACCGGAUAAUGUCUUCGGACCAAAGAUUUAUCGCCUUUGGAUGGGCCCGCGUUGGAUUAGCUAGUUGGUAGGGUAAAAGCCUACCAAGGCGACGAUCCAUAGCUGGUCUGAGAGGAUGAUCAGCCACACUGGGACUGAGACACGGCCCAGACUCCUACGGGAAGCAGCAGUGGGGAAUAUUGGACAAUGGGCGAAAGCCUGAUCCAGCAAUGCCGCGUGAGUGAUGAAGGCCUUAGGGUUGUAAAGCUCUUUUACCCGGGAUGAUAAUGACAGUACCGGGAGAAUAAGCUCCGGCUAACUCCGUG